rnacentral:rRNA from 1 species
AGAGCGAACGCUGGCGGCAGGCUUAACACAUGCAAGUCGAACGGACUCUUCGGAGUUAGUGGCGGACGGGUGAGUAACACGUGGGAACGUGCCUUUUGGUUCGGAAUAAGCUCGGGAAACUGGGUCUAAUACCGAAUGUGCCCUUCGGGGGAAAGAUUUAUCGCCAUUAGAGCGGCCCGCGUCUGAUUAGCUAGUUGGUGAGGUAAAGCUCACCAAGGCUACGAUCAGUAGCUGGUCUGAGAGGAUGACCAGCCACAUUGGGACUGAGACACGGCCCAAACUCCUACGGGAGGCAGCAGUGGGGAAUCUUGCGCAAUGGGCAAAGCCUGACGCAGCCAUGCCGCGUGUAUGAUGGAAGGUCUUAGGAUUGUAAAAUACUUUCAACCGGUGAAAGGAUAAUGAACUUGGUAAGACCGGAAGAAACGAAGCCCCGGACUUAACUUCGACCGCCAGCAGCCGAC